GCCCUGGUGGCAUAAUAGUUAAGCACUUAGCUGCUAAUUGAAAGGUUGAUGGUUCAAACCAUCCAGUGGCU
rnacentral:tRNA from 1 species